rnacentral:rRNA from 1 species
CCUACGGGAGGCUGCAGUGGGGAAUUUUGGACAAUGGGGGCAACCCUGAUCCAGCCAUGCCGCGUGAGUGAAGAAGGCCUUCGGGUUGUAAAGCUCUUUCGGCCGGGAAGAAAUCGCUCAAGCUAAUACCUUGGGUGGAUGACGGUACCGGAAGAAGAAGCACCGGCUAACUACGUGCCAGCAGCCGCGGUAAUACGUAGGGUGCGAGCGUUAAUCGGAAUUACUGAGCGGAAAGCGUGCGCAGGCGGCGAAACCCCCCGGGUUAACCUGUGAAGUGCGUUUGUGACUGUGGUGCUCGAGUGCGGCAGAGGAGGGUGGAAUUCCACGUGUAGCAGUGAAAUGCGUAGAGAUGUGGAGGAACACCGAUGGCGAAGGCAGCCCCCUGGGUCGACACUGACGCUCAUGCACGAAAGCGUGGGGAGCAAACAGGAUUAGAUACCCGGGUAGUC